GAUGGUAUAUGAACUCCUUUUUGUAUGAUCCUUCUCUCUCCUUUGCUUUUUUCUUUUGGAGACAUGGGCUAUCUUUUCUUUUUCUCUCUUUUUUUCAUCAUGCUUUCAUGAGCAUGUACUUUAUUUCUUUUUGCAUAGACCAAGUCUCUUUUGCAAGGAUAACUUUGGAGAGAGAGGUCAUAAAACAGCAUGGAACUUUAUUUUGUGGAUGGAUGAAAUGAUGAUUGCUAUCUUCCAGUUUAGAAGCUUAGUAUAUGGUGGUGGCAUGUACGUGAUCU
rnacentral:lncRNA from 1 species